ensembl:lncRNA
UUCAUGGGGUCGCAAAGAGUCGGACACGACUGAGCGACUGAACCGAACCUUACACAGCAGUCUUGGCAUCUGGAGGGAUUGGUCCCAGCCCCAUCUUGUUCAUUCAUUCUGUGAAUGAAGGCAAAUCUGUUGACCAAGUGUCAGGGUCACCACUUGUUGGAUGAGACUAGCUACUAUUGCUCUGACCUCCUCACGGAGAUCUCAUAGGGAUCAGAUGUGAAGGAACCUAGAACUCUAGGAAUCCAACACCUCCUGGAACAGAGGCUGCGUGUCCACUCCACACACUCCUCACACAGUGGAAGUGGAUGCCAUGGUGUCCAUCUUUGUAUCCUCACUGGAGUCAAGAUGAAGCCUCAAAAGGGAGAGAGGACAACUCCACCUCAGCAGAGGAACACAGCAUAGACGGGGCUCUAACCUGCAGUUACACUGUGUGUGCCCUCAUUUCCUGCCUCCCUCCCAUGCCUCCCCCGCCCCACUCUACCUCAUCCCCACCGAAGUUCCUGUGCAAACACCUCAAAGAUUCCUUGUCAACAGCCAGCCACACGCAUCAACGCUACUUAAUGAUCAAAUCAGCCUUUCUAGGCCUUUUCCUAAAGGAUUUUCAUCUCUGUCCUUGUUCUCCCUUGGAUUUUUUUUCCACCACUCUUUGGCUUAAUAAAUNNNNNNNNNNNNNNNNNNNNNNNNNNNNNNNNNNNNCCGGCUGGAAGUACACUUGAACAGCAAUUCUAAGUCCUUAUUAGCUCUAUAGUGAUCAGGUGAAGGAAUAAUUGAUCUCAAUCAGGAACACCUGGUUUCAUAAUUGCACAAAUGAUUAUAAUUCAAUAAUAAAAGUCAAUUUAACUAAAUUCAGAUUGCUUUAACCUCUCGCAGACAGGUUAAGAAGUAAAGAAGCAAACUGGGGAAAAAAAGGAAAAAGAAAAACAAAGCUCUGUCUAAACUGCCAGACCUAAUAGGGCCCAAAUGCAAGUGACUCAUUUAGCCCUACCGUAGCUUAUAUUACUGCUCCUGGGCCUUUGUUCACUAUAUUCUUCCUUUGUAGAAUAUCCUUUCCCCAUUUUCAUACCUCCAAACUUUAUGUGUUUCUUCCAGACCAAGCUCAAACAACACCUCCAUCAGCUCUUCAAAGUUUUUUAAAGUUUUGAGAUGCUCAGAGUUGGGAAGAUAUCCAGUUCCCCUGUGGGGCAUGAGUAAAAUGGUGCCCUUGGGAAGGAAAGUAAUAUUUCAGUUCAGUUCAGCAUUUCAUGUAAUUCUUACAAAGCUGAACAACCUGCUCAAAUUCAAAUAGCUGGAGAGCAAACAGAGACAGAAUUUGAACUCAGACCUUCCUGAAUUCAGAUCCAGGUCAGGGCUAAUUGCCACCAAGACUUGGGCAUUCAUGUCACCAGAACAUCACUUAUAUCUCCAGUCUGCUGAGCCCUGAGAAUACUGGAGCUCUAAGACAUCAUCAAGAACAUAAAAGCCUCAUGCUUCAAAGAAUGCUACACAACUUGGGUGAUCACUGGCAAUACAAAAUAAGUUGAAAAUGUCCAAUUUUAAAAGUAAGGAAAAGAUCAUCUUUACAAUGUAAAAAAGUCAAUGGAUGGAUUCAUUGUCAGUUUAGUUGACCAUGGAACAACGUUGGCUUUCAGCCAUUCACUGCGCCCCCCUCGGUCAAGGCUCUUGAACAGGCAAAAUGAAGGACCCAGGAAACAGGCAUUCCUAUCUGCAUUGCCAUGAAGAGGUCCAGCUCCUCAUGGUAACUUCCCCUCUGCGCUGGAAGAGUUGAGGCUGGGCCAGAAUAGCUUCCCCAUGACAGCAAAGAGCAAGCAAAAAGCGGCCGGGAUGCGGGAGGGGCAAGGGCUCAGCUCCUGAUGACGCUGGCUGCCCUUCCUCCUGCGCUGGGACUCGGCAGAGACGCUCUAUGCUCCUAGGAACCAUCGACGUGUGUGUGUGUGUGUGUCUGUGUGUGUGUGUGUCUGUGUGUGUCUGUGUGUGUGCGCGCGCGCGCGCGGGCGCGCGCGCGUCGGGAGUGGGGGCUGGGGAGCGGGUUCGUCGUCAGAGCCGCCAGCUAGGAAAACCCUUAGGGAUUAUCUAGUCCAACCCCCUCAUUUCCCAGAGCAAGUUGUUGGGGGCCCAGAGAGGGAAAGGAAUUUGUUCACUGUCACUGGGAAUUCAGUGACGCAGGCUCCCCGUGCUGGGUUCAGUGUAGGACAGUGAACCCUGAGAAGGGACCCUGGGUUUCCACUGUAUGCAUCAGAAAAAUCAAAAUAAUCACAGAGCUCAGUAUUUUCCAGCCACUGGAAAAGUCUAACUUAGUUAAAUCCUUGAAGCACAAACAUUUGCUAAUCAAAGUAUUUACCCAAGGGAUACUGUUAUAGCAAUAUUAAGGGAAAUAAAAUGUGUACAUCCUAGUGACCACCUACGCAGGAUUUCUAUCACAUUCUCUUAAACGAGCAUUAAACCAAUGGCAGUUCUCAUUGGCUGGGAUUUGAACAGCAGGAAAUUAGCAGGCGCCUUUAGAAGGAUUUGACAGGCACCCUGAAAGGCUCAGCAUCAGGAGCCUGGAGACCCGCCUCUUCCCUCAGCUCUGCCUCUCAAGAGCCCAUUGACCUUGGGCAAGUCUUCUAACCUUUCUCAACCUCAGUUUCUUUAUCCCCAGAUUGAGGGUGCAACUCCCUGCCCAGCCCAACUGCCGCUCCCCAUAACUGGGGUUGUUGCAAGGGUAUCAUGAGGUAGCCCUUUACACAUUUAAUGAAAAUCAAAGUGUUUUCUAGCUACCUGCAAUCUGAGCUGGUGAUCAACUACAAAAAGGAAAGUGGCUGAGCAGAACAGGUCAGAGGGUAGGUAAGAGGACCGAAGACCAAGUUCUUGUUGGGAGAGUUGCAUUCCAUCUGCUUCUGGGCCAAUGGAACUGAGGGCUCUGACUCUAACU